ensembl:lncRNA
CUUAUAACUGGCUUUCUUCAUGGUUCUCUAAAAAUUAAGGCUUUCCUUGCGAGACGAGAAUCUUCACCAUCUGAAUCAUGAAAAUCAACUCUGAUAGUGUUGCCGCUAUGGGGGAAUGCACCAUUAGGAGUGACUGACUUAGAUCAGACUGGUCGCUGAUUCAUCCAUCCUUCUGGCGGGAGUUAGGUUAACGGACCCCUCCCUUAACUCUAGUGGAAUGCACAGCAGGUGGAAGAAGACUUUUCACAUUGUGUCGGUGGUAGAGCGGGCUGUCCACUAAUUGUAGGGUUGGCGGUUCGAUUCCCGGCCCGGGUGACUCCACAUGUCGAAGUGUCCUUGGGCAAGACACUGUACCCCAAGUUGCUCCCGAAGGAAAUGCUGGCAAAAGUGGAGAUAGGAGGAGUGCAGAAAUAUAUUAAAGUUCCACAGACUUAUGAAGUCUUUCAAUUUGAGAACUUCCUUCAAGAAGAUCUGGAUGUUCAGCUGGUCUCAGAUCAAGCAUCCUCCUCUGUACUGACUCCAAUAUCCC